rnacentral:rRNA from 1 species
AUUGAACGCUGGCGGCAGGCCUAACACAUGCAAGUCGAGCGGAUGAAGGGAGCUUGCUCCUGGAUUCAGCGGCGGACGGGUGAGUAAUGCCUAGGAAUCUGCCUGGUAGUGGGGGAUAACGUCCGGAAACGGGCGCUAAUACCGCAUACGUCCUGAGGGAGAAAGUGGGGGAUCUUCGGACCUCACGCUAUCAGAUGAGCCUAGGUCGGAUUAGCUAGUUGGUGGGGUAAAGGCCUACCAAGGCGACGAUCCGUAACUGGUCUGAGAGGAUGAUCAGUCACACUGGAACUGAGACACGGUCCAGACUCCUACGGGAGGCAGCAGUGGGGAAUAUUGGACAAUGGGCGAAAGCCUGAUCCAGCCAUGCCGCGUGUGUGAAGAAGGUCUUCGGAUUGUAAAGCACUUUAAGUUGAGAGGAAGGGCAGUAAGUUAAUACCUUGCUGUUUUGACGUUACCAGCAGAAUAAGCACCGGCUAACUUCGUG